rnacentral:rRNA from 1 species
UACGGAGGGGCUAGCGUUGUUCGGAAUCACUGGGCGUAAAGCGCACGUAGGCGGAUCUUUAAGUCAGGGGUGAAAUCCCGAGGCUCAACCUCGGAACUGCCUUUGAUACUGGGGAUCUCGAGUCCGGGAGAGGUGAGUGGAACUGCGAGUGUAGAGGUGAAAUUCGUAGAUAUUCGCAAGAACACCAGUGGCGAAGGCGGCUCACUGGCCCGGAACUGACGCUGAGGUGCGAAAGCG